AUGUACAUCCAGUCUGAGUGGAAAGAAUUUUGGAGGUCCGAUGGUGUGAGGCCUCCCCCGAUAUCCUGGUUAUGUGUAAUGCGUGUCAAGGGGCUGGGGGAUGUGCGCAGUUGCUAUGAGUAGUGGAGGGAGCACCAAACUCGAAGUGUGGCAUCGAUCAUUGGGUGGUCGGUUCGCAGGGUGUUGAAGGUCAUGUGGUCGAGCGAGAGUAAUGAUUUUUUGUAUUUUUUCCAUGUGGACUUAAAUAUUAGUGGUUGGGUAAGCAUGCCAAUCCGUCAUCCUAAGGAGGUAUCGAUGGAAGCCCGGUACCACCACGACUUUUGGGUAGUUCUAGUAGCGUUUUGCUGAUCCUGGAUGCCCGUCUGUUCCAGACAAACCUCCGGAUUGCGGUGGAAAUG